GGACCCUUUCGGGUCCCGGGGUAACUGGUCAGGGCGAUGGCCCUCUUCUGUGGUGGCUACGCCGCCUGCGACUGCGGGCGGGGCACGGGGUUGGACCACUGGUCGGGGAUGCCAAAUCCGU